GUUAAUGGAUUGGACGUAAGCCGUGACGGCCUUACCCGUCAGCCCAACAGCCGAAGCGGGGCCGCUGAAUGGGAAAACAGCGCCAAUGGAAACUUCAGUCGCGGUGACGCCGGGAUUUUCAUCCGCAAGAACGGGCGUAUUUGCCGCGAGUAGAACUAUCAAUCCCAACCGAAUUUUACUAAGCAUUUGACUCUCCCUACCUGAGCGCAAGCUCCCUCGGAUGACUACGGCGCUUGAGCGGCGCAU
rnacentral:misc_RNA from 1 species